rnacentral:lncRNA from 1 species
UCAUUAUGUGAUUAUGAUUAUUGCUGUUAAUAAUAAUAAUAAGCAUUAUUAUUAUUUUUCUCUUUGAUUUUAUUAUUAUUCUCUCUUCUGUUUCAUCUUUUUCUUCCUCCUAUCAAUUUCGUUUCUUCUUCUUCAUCAACAUCUUAAUUCAAUUCCAUCUUCGUCAUAAUUACAUCAUCAAUAAUAAGAACUCAACUACCUUGCAACAAUUGCAAGGUAUCGCCUGAUUUUAUUUUCUUGUGGUUUCAACCUUUGACUAUUGGAUUCAAUGAAAAGAUAGAUUCAAGGAUAGAGAUUCGUUUAUUUGAAUAUUAGUAUUAUACUCCCUGAUAUUUAUAAAAAACACAAAAAUGCUAAAAAAUUAAAAUUUUUAACACAUAAGUCCAAAUUAUUUAAAAUUUUAUGUUGUUUAAUUAGUAGAGUAAGGUGGCGUUUGUUUUUUUGUCUGAAAUCUGAAAGACCUGAAUUAGUCUGAAUUCUGAAUAAAUUUGAAUGUCUGAAUCUGAAUAAUAUGUUUAUUUUUUGUCUGAAUCUCGAAAAAUAAGUAUUAAGUUGUUUGUUUUUUUCAACUUAAAAAGCUGAAAAUAUGUACUUUUACAUUUGUAUCCUUAUUAAAUUUGAAUGUCAA